rnacentral:rRNA from 1 species
UGGUGGGUUGCCUUGUCAGGUUGAUUCCGGUAACGAACGAGACCUCAGCCUGCUAAAUAGUAACACAUACUUUUGUAUGUGCCUUACUUCUUAGAGGGACUAUUGGCGUUUAGUCAAUGGAAGUGUGAGGCAAUAACA